AAUAUUCAAACAAUAGUCUUAACUGCAUUAAGACUAUUUGCAAGUGGAAGUUAUUAGCUGAAUAUAGGUACUAAUAAAUACUUAGAUGUGUCGCAGCCCAGUGUUAGUCGGUAUAUAAACGAAGUGGCCAGUGCCUUAAAUGACCCGCAAAUAUUUAAUGGCUAUAUAAAAUUUCCUAAUAAUUUUGAAGAUCUAAAUAGACUUAGGCAAGGGUAUGUUAUCAAUUAUCAUCAAAAUGCAAGUUUUUUAAGUUUCAAGUAUAUUAAUUAUACGGUAUAUGUAUGUAUUAAUUUAGAUUUUAUGAUAAACAUGGAUUUCCGGGAGUAAUAGGGUGCAUUGAUUGCAAUUUUUCCUCCAAAAAGUGAUGAUCCAAGUUAUCCAGAACAUCUAUAUAUCAACCGAAAAAAUUAUCAUUCCGUAAAUGUUCAACUGAUAUGUGAUUCAAAUCUUAAAAUCUUCAAUGUUAACGCCAAAUUUCCUGGUAGCACACAUCUGGAGUCGCUCAAAUGUAGAAACAUUCAUACAGCAUCUUCAUUCUUAUGAUCACAAAUAUUAUUUCCUAGUAGGCAGGUACCCAGUUUUAUAUACUUCCUCUUUUACAAAAUA